UCCUCUAAAAUAUGAGCCGAAGGAGCAUCUUCGGCUUGUUGAAAUUACCGUUUAGCAACUGAUUUAUGCCGUUUUGAAGACGGCGGAGGAGUAGUUUGUACAGUUUCAAUCGGUCUUUUGUCUGAAGCUGGGACCGAUGAAGAAGUGGGAAUAGACUGCCGAUGAAAGUGAAAGAAACGUAAGUAUUACAAACAUCAAAAUAGGAAGAAU
rnacentral:lncRNA from 1 species